CUGAGUGUUACAACUCCCAAACCCUAUGUGAACCUUACCUAUCGUUGCUUCGGCGGGAACGCCCCGGCGUCCCCCCUCCCCCGCGGAGGGGUGCUUGCCCGGAACCAGGCGCCCGCCGGAGACCCCAAACUCUUUGUUUUUACCAAUGGUAUCUUCUGAGUGGCAAACGCAAAAUAAAAUCA
rnacentral:misc_RNA from 1 species